AUUGAACGCUGGCGGCAUGCCUUACACAUGCAAGUCGAACGGCAGCGGACCUUCGGGUGCCGGCGAGUGGCGAACGGGUGAGUAAUGCAUCGGAACGUACCCUUCAGUGGGGGAUAACGUAGCGAAAGUUACGCUAAUACCGCAUAUUCUGUGAGCAGGAAAGCAGGGGAUCGCAAGACCUUGCGCUGAUUGAGCGGCCGAUGUCAGAUUAGCUAGUUGGUGAGGUAAAGGCUCACCAAGGCGACGAUCUGUAGCGGGUCUGAGAGGAUGAUCAGCCACACUGGAACUGAGACACGGUCCAGACUCCUACGGGAGGCAGCAGUGGGGAAUUUUGGACAAUGGGGGCAACCCUGAUCCAGCCAUGCCGCGUGAGUGAAGAAGGCCUUCGGGUUGUAAAGCUCUUUCGGCCGGGAAGAAAUCGCACGGGCUAAUACCCUGUGUGGAUGACGGUACCGGAAUAAGAAGCACCGGCUAACUACGUGCCAGCCGCCGCGGUAAAAC
rnacentral:rRNA from 1 species